GAAACCAAGAGCCAGAUACUCAACUGACUGAGCCACCGAGGCUCCCUACUGUCCAAGAUGUGGGAGCCAUGAGGAGAGGGGCAGAGUAAUCCUGGACAAGGCCAUCCUACUAGCCAGCCCCCAGCCAUCCUGCCAGCUGACCACAGAUGCAUGAAGAAGCCCAGAGCUGCCUGGAGUCAUUUCCUGCAGGAAUUUCACGUCUUCCCAUUGAAGUGUUCCAGCAGCUGGUAACCAAAUCAUCAACUCAGGCCAUGGGUGAUUCUCCAGGCUCCAAUUACA